CCUGAACCGCACUACAAUGAUAGCUGUGGUGUCAGCAUGCAAAAGAAAGACUUCGCUGCUUGUUUUAUCACAGUUCUGGGUGUGCCUCGAUUCACGACUUACUAAGAGAGACGACCCGCCUUGGGUGCUGGUGGUUCCAACGAAUAGGCUUCUAGCACGGCUGGAAUAAAUAGGGGAAGAGAAAGAUAGUCUUACUUUUGCUUCUUCAGAGAAGUUUCAGUCUUUGCCAGCACCCUUGGAAUGCUGUCACACUUCCAGUGCAGACUUUCCAGCUCGCCGAAACAGACUCCCACUGGACACUGCAGUGAGCUCCAGGCCUUCAGAUAUGACUGCAUCUUCCUGCCCUCUAGGGUCCUGUUUGCAGUCAUCCACCCCUGCCUCUAUGGGUAGCCACUGGCAGUCAGCCUGUAUGUUCUAGAAGAAUUUUCCAUCAUGUAAAAAAAGCAUGACAUUAAGGAUAUGAUGUGUAUCAAUCUACAUGGUAAUAAAUUGUGCAGCUCUCAUCAUCAGAAAGGCAGUAGUGAGCAAAAACUUGCAGACAUUGUACAGUUUUCCCCACAGAGCUGUGCUAAAGCCAACGAAGAAAAUGAAAUCUCUGCUAAUAAGAUAUCUACGAUUUUGACAGUUGUUCUUUAAACAUACAUAUGUGAAUGUGUAUGUAUGCAUGUGCA
rnacentral:lncRNA from 1 species